AUGAUAGAAAUUUAMACACUUUUUAAAGUAUCAAUUGGAGGGCAAGUCUGGUGCCAGCAGCCGCGGUAAUUCCAGCUCCAAUAGCGYAUAUUAAAAUUGUUGCAGWUAAAAAGCUCGUASUUGAAUUUCUGCUAAAAAUAACCGKUCUGCUUUUAAUAAAGGUGSWAUCUUGGUGUGUUUUUAKCAAUAAUGUCCUUUGAAAUGUUUUUUACUUCAUUGUAAUMAAUUAUAUUUAKGAUUUUUACUUUGAGAAAAUUAKAGUGUUUCUAGCAGGCUAAUGCUUUGAAUACUGC
rnacentral:rRNA from 1 species